UACGGGGGGGGGCAAGCGUUUGUUCGGAAUUACUGGGCGUAAAGGGCUCGUAGGCGGCCAACUAAGUCAGACGUGAAAUCCCUCGGCUUAACCGGGGAACUGCGUCUGAUACUGGAUGGCUGGAGGUUGGGAGAGGGAUGCGGAAUUCCAGGUGUAGCGGUGAAAUGCGUAGAUAUCUGGAGGAACACCGGUGGCGAAGGCGGCUACCUGGGCUGACACUGACGCUGAGGCGCGAAAGCGUGGGGAUCAAACAGG
rnacentral:rRNA from 1 species